rnacentral:rRNA from 3 species
AAAUUGAAGAGUUUGAUCAUGGCUCAGAUUGAACGCUGGCGGCAGGCCUAACACAUGCAAGUCGAACGGUAACAGGAAACAGCUUGCUGUUUCGCUGACGAGUGGCGGACGGGUGAGUAAUGUCUGGGAAACUGCCUGAUGGAGGGGGAUAACUACUGGAAACGGUAGCUAAUACCGCAUAACGUCGCAAGACCAAAGAGGGGGACCUUCGGGCCUCUUGCCAUCGGAUGUGCCCAGAUGGGAUUAGCUAGUAGGUGGGGUAACGGCUCACCUAGGCGACGAUCCCUAGCUGGUCUGAGAGGAUGACCAGCCACACUGGAACUGAGACACGGUCCAGACUCCUACGGGAGGCAGCAGUGGGGAAUAUUGCACAAUGGGCGCAAGCCUGAUGCAGCCAUGCCGCGUGUAUGAAGAAGGCCUUCGGGUUGUAAAGUACUUUCAGCGGGGAGGAAGGGAGUAAAGUUAAUACCUUUGCUCAUUGACGUUACCCGCAGAAGAAGCACCGGCUAACUCCGUGCCAGCAGCCGCGGUAAUACGGAGGGUGCAAGCGUUAAUCGGAAUUACUGGGCGUAAAGCGCACGCAGGCGGUUUGUUAAGUCAGAUGUGAAAUCCCCGGGCUCAACCUGGGAACUGCAUCUGAUACUGGCAAGCUUGAGUCUCGUAGAGGGGGGUAGAAUUCCAGGUGUAGCGGUGAAAUGCGUAGAGAUCUGGAGGAAUACCGGUGGCGAAGGCGGCCCCCUGGACGAAGACUGACGCUCAGGUGCGAAAGCGUGGGGAGCAAACAGGAUUAGAUACCCUGGUAGUCCACGCUGUAAACGAUGUCGACUUGGAGGUUGUGCCCUUGAGGUGUGGCUUCCGGAGCUAACGCGUUAAGUCGACCGCCUGGGGAGUACGGCCGCAAGGUUAAAACUCAAAUGAAUUGACGGGGGCCCGCACAAGCGGUGGAGCAUGUGGUUUAAUUCGAUGCAACGCGAAGAACCUUACCUGGUCUUGACAUCCACGGAAGUUUUCAGAGAUGAGAAUGUGCCUUCGGGAACCGUGAGACAGGUGCUGCAUGGCUGUCGUCAGCUCGUGUUGUGAAAUGUUGGGUUAAGUCCCGCAACGAGCGCAACCCUUAUCCUUUGUUGCCAGCGGUCCGGCCGGGAACUCAAAGGAGACUGCCAGUGAUAAACUGGAGGAAGGUGGGGAUGACGUCAAGUCAUCAUGGCCCUUACGACCAGGGCUACACACGUGCUACAAUGGCGCAUACAAAGAGAAGCGACCUCGCGAGAGCAAGCGGACCUCAUAAAGUGCGUCGUAGUCCGGAUUGGAGUCUGCAACUCGACUCCAUGAAGUCGGAAUCGCUAGUAAUCGUGGAUCAGAAUGCCACGGUGAAUACGUUCCCGGGCCUUGUACACACCGCCCGUCACACCAUGGGAGUGGGUUGCAAAAGAAGUAGGUAGCUUAACCUUCGGGAGGGCGCUUACCACUUUGUGAUUCAUGACUGGGGUGAAGUCGUAACAAGGUAACCGUAGGGGAACCUGCGGUUGGAUCACCUCCUUACCUUAAAGAAGC